rnacentral:rRNA from 1 species
AUUGAACGCUGGCGGCAGGCUUAACACAUGCAAGUCGAACGAGUGGCGGACGGGUGAGUAAUGCUUGGGCAUCUUGCUUUUGACGGGGGAUAACUACGGGAAACUGUAGCUAAUACCGCGUACCGUAGGUUGCUCCCAAGUGGAAUUAGGUAGUUGGUGAGGUAAAGGCUCACCAAGCCGACGAUCUCUAGCUGGUCUGAGAGGAUGACCAGCCACACUGGGACUGAGACACGGCCCAGACUCCUACGGGAGGCAGCAGUGGGGAAUAGUGCGCAAUGGGGGCAACCUGACGCAGCCAUGCCGCGUGAAUGAAGAAGGCCUUCGGGUUGUAAAGUUCUGUCGGUAGCGAGGCGUUAACUACAGAAGAAGCACCGGCUAACUCCGUGCCAGCAGCCGCGGUAAUAC